rnacentral:rRNA from 1 species
GACGAACCGUGCGAACGUUAUUCGGAUUCACUGGGCUUAAAGGGCGCGUAGGCGGAUCAUCAAGUCCGGGGUGAAAUACUUCGGCUUAACCGGAGAACAGCCUUGGAUACUGAUGGUCUCGAGGGAGAUAGGGGUGUGCGGAACUUCCGGUGGAGCGGUGAAAUGCGUAGAUAUCGGAAGGAACGCCGGUGGCGAAAGCGGCACACUGGAUCUCUUCUGACGCUGAGGCGCGAAAGCUAGGGGAGCGAACGGG